ACUCCAGUGGCGCAAUCAGUUAGCGCAUGGUACUCACAAUGCUGAGGUUGUGAGUUCAACCCUUACCUGGAGUA